CAUGUUAUUGAUGCCAAAGGAGCAAUCCGCCUUUAGAUGGACCUGCGUUGUAUUAGCUAGUUGGUGGGGUAACGGGCUCACCAAGGCGACGAUACAUAGCCGACCUGAGAGGGUGAUCGGCCACACUGGGACUGAGACACGGCCCAGACUCCUACGGGAGGCAGCAGUAGGGAAUCUUCGGCAAUGGACGGAAGUCUGACCGAGCAACGCCGCGUGAGUGAAGAAGGUUUUCGGAUCGUAAAGCUCUGUUGUAAGAGAAGAACGAGUGUGAGAGUGGAAAGUUCACACUGUGACGGUAUCUUACCAGAAAGGGACGGCUAACUACGUGCCAGCAGCCGCGGUAAUACGUAGGUCCCGAGCGUUGUCCGGAUUUAUUGGGCGUAAAGCGAGCGCAGGCGGUUAGAUAAGUCUGAAGUUAAAGGCUGUGGCUUAACCAUAGUACGCUUUGGAAACUGUUUAACUUGAGUGCAGAAGGGGAGAGUGGAAUUCCAUGUGUAGCGGUGAAAU
rnacentral:rRNA from 1 species